rnacentral:rRNA from 1 species
GAUGAACGCUGGCGGCGUGCUUAACACAUGCAAGUCGAACGAGAAAUGGAGACGGAAACCUUCGGGCGGAAGGCUUCAUUUCGAGUGGCGGACGGGUGAGUAACGCGUGGGUAACCUGCCUCAUACAGGGGGAUAACAGUUGGAAACGACUGUUAAUACCGCAUCAGACCACAGCACCGCAUGGUGCGGGGGUAAAAACUCCGGUGGUAUGAGAUGGACCCGCGUUCGAUUAGCCAGUUGGCGGGGUAACGGCCCACCAAAGCGACGAUCGAUAGCCGAUCUGAGAGGAUGACCGGCCACAUUGGGACUGAGACACGGCCCAAACUCCUACGGGAGGCAGCAGUGGGGAAUAUUGCACAAUGGGGGAAACCCUGAUGCAGCGACGCCGCGUGAGUGAAGAAGUACUUCGGUAUGUAAAGCCCUAUCAGCAGGGAAGAAAAUGACGGUACCUGAGGAAGAAGCCCCGGCUAACUACGUG